rnacentral:lncRNA from 1 species
UUUUGCAUGUGUUUCUCUCUUCUAUGGCUAUGAAGAAGAUAGGUGAGGGAGCGAUGACUAUCGUGACCUGAGAUGGAUAGCAACAAAAAUUCAGGCAAAAUUGGGGAGGAGGCUUGUUCUAUAUAGGUUGUGAAAUAGCCAAGAGAGGGAUGGAUGCGUGAAUCGAUCGGAAGGGGUCUAGUGGUGUUCUUCGAUGAAGAUGAUCUUCAAAGGUCGCUUGGUCGAGGAAGGGUCGUCUGGAGAAGAUGAUAUCAAGGGGAGUCAUUUUUUCAGCGCAACUUUCUCUGGGGUGUG